rnacentral:rRNA from 1 species
AGCCACAUUGGAACUGAGACACUGUCCAGACUCCUACGGGAGGCUGCAGUCGAGAAUCUUGGGCAAUGCACGAAAGUGUGAACCAGCGACGCCGCGUGCAGGAUGAAGGCCCUCAGGGUCGUAAACUGCUUUUAUGGGGGAGAAAUAAAUGAUGUUACCCCAUGAAUAAGCCACGGCUAACUACGUGCCAGCAGCCGCGGUAAUACGUAGGUGGCAAGCGUUGUCCGGAUUUACUGGGCGUAAAGGGCAAGCAGGCGGACUGUUAAGUAGGAAGUGAAAGGUCGGAGCUCAACUCCAACAUUGCUUCCUAUACUGGCAGUCUUGAGUCUCGGAGAGGAAAGCGGAACGAUACGUGUAGCGGUGAAAUGCGUUGAUAUGUAUCGGAACACCAAUGGCGAAGGCAGCUUUCUGGACGAGAACUGACGCUCAUUUGCGAAAGCCGAGGUAGCGAACAGGAUUAGAUACCCUGGUAGUCUCGGCCCUAAACGAUGAUCACUAGGUGUCAGGGGGUUUCCCUUGGUGCCGCAGCUAACGCAUUAAGUGAUCCGCCUGGGGACUACGGCCGCAAGGUUGAAACUCAAAGGAAUUGGCGGGGGCCCGCACAAGCGGUGGAGCAUAUGGCUUAAUUCGAUGCAACGCGAAGAACCUUACCCAGGCUUGACAUGUAGCUGCAAGCUCCCGAAAAGGAGCCGCUUUCGAAGGUGCUACACAGGUGGUGCAUGGCUGUCGUCAGCUCGUGUUGUGAAAUGUUGGGUUAAGUCCCGCAACGAGCGCAACCCUCAUGUCCUGUUGCCAGCACGUAAUGGUGGGAACUCGGGACAAACUGCCCAUGUAAGUGGGAGGAAGGUGGGGAUGACGUCAAGUCAUCAUGCCCCUUACGCCUGGGGCUGCACAUAUGCUACAAUGG